AUAGGAUUUACUUAGGGAUCUUAUUAAAAUGUAGAUUCUGACUCAGCAGCUCUCAUGUGGGAAUAGCGACUCUGCAUUUCUGACAAGCUCCCAGGUAAUGCUGUG
rnacentral:miRNA from 1 species